rnacentral:rRNA from 1 species
GAUGAACGCUGGCGGUGUGCCUAAUACAUGCAAGUCGAGCGAACAGAUGAGGAGCUUGUUCCUCUGACGUUAGCGGCGGACGGGUGAGUAAGACGUGGAUAACCUACUUAUAAGACUGGGAUAACUUCGGGAAACCGGAGCCAAUACCGGAUAAUAUAUUGAACCGCAUGGUUCAAUAGUGAAAGACGGUUUUGCUGUCACUUAUAGAUGGAUCCGCGCCGCAUUAGCUAGUUGGUAAGGUAACGGCUUACCAAGGCGACGAUGCGUAGCCGACCUGAGAGGAUGAUCAGCCACACUGGAACUGAGACACGGUCCAGACUCCUACGGGAGGCAGCAGUAGGGAAUCUUCCGCAAUGGGCGAAAGCCUGACGGAGCAACGCCGCGUGAGUGAUGAAGGUCUUCGGAUCGUAAAACUCUGUUAUUAGGGAAGAACAGAUGUGUAAGAAACUAUGCACGUCUUGACGGUACCUAAUCAGAAAGCCACGGCUAACUACGUG